CAGCCAGUGUCACACUUCCAAGCGCAUUUUGUUUCUACUCUCAAAAACAAUUAAAACAUCACCACAAAAGCUGAACCCAGCUUUCCUAACUUUCCCAUCUCUCGCUUAAAAAAGCAAGCAAACCCAACAAAAUUAAUCUAACUCAUGUAUCAAACCCCAUAAAAGCGAAACCAGCAGAACAAAUCAAGCGAUUCAAUGUUCCUAAAUUUCGACUCAGCAAUACUUUAGGCAGUUCAGCAUCCAACAAAAAAUUGAGGAAAAUAAAAGAGAAACAGAGCACUUCAAAUCUAAAAUGACAUGAAAAUCGAUGAUGAACAGCAAUGAAGAGGGAUUUGGAGUUGGUGACUA
rnacentral:misc_RNA from 1 species